rnacentral:lncRNA from 1 species
UUUUAUAUAUAUAUAUAUAUAUAUAUAUAUAUAUAUAUAUAUAUAUAAAAUAGGUAUAGUUUUUUUUUUGAGAGAUAGGUAGCAUUUUAUCUGCUUUGUUUAUUUAAUUUAGAAAUAAACUUAGUUAGAAAUGUGAAUCAACUAGAAUUCGAAUUUGGGACCUCAAGUGUCAAUCAUCAAGUCUUUUGCCACUUGCGCUAGGGACGGUCGAUGUAGGUAUAAAUCUUACACCACACUUAUCUAAGUGUUUUUAUUCUUUAUUUGUCUUAUCAAUUUUUUUUGACUAAAAAAAAUUUAGGCCAAUUUGCAUAAAAAAUCCACUAGUUUUGGGCUUUUGCAAAAUCUAGCCACCAUUUUCAUUUUUGCAGAUUCGGUCCGCUUUUUCAAAAAGAUGACCAAACUACCCCUUUUUCAAAAUGCAUAAGAAGUAUAUGCAUUAAUUGUCUUGAAAAAUACAGCUGACAAGUUAUUAUUACAGUUAUCUUUUUCUUAAAAAAUGAAAUUCUCAUUAACAUACAAAUAAAAAACUUGGCCAAAACUUCAAAUAAUAAAAGUAAAAAAGAAAGAAUGGAAAACAUCUUAAAUGGUGCAAUAUCAUUCUAAUUUGUACAAUAUUUCUUUCAAAUAGCGUAAUAUUUGUGUAAACAGUAUAAUGUUUGCACAAUUUAUAUAAUGUUGCAUAAUUUUUUAUAAUAAAUUACGAAUAAUAUAGUAUACUACGCGCAAAUAAUAUAACAUAUUAAAAUAUACUAUAAAAAUCAUAUAUUAUAUGUAUAAACGGUGAAUAUUUUAUACUAUUUGUACAAAUAUUUACACCAUUUGCAUAGAUAUUGCACUAUUAUGAGAAAAUGUUGCACCAUUUAGAUAUUAUGUUGCACUCUUUCUUUUUAAAAAUUAAAAUAUAUUGUAUAUUAAAUAAAGUGUUAAAUGUCUUGAAAAUGACAACUGUUAAGUCAUAAUUACAUGUACCUUUCACGAGAGACGAGAAUUCUCAUUUAAUUAAGAUAAAAUAAAAAAAUAAAAUAUCAUUAAUACAAUGAAAGAGUGCAACAUAGUCUCAAAUAGUGCAACAUUCUCUUCCAAAUAGUACAAUAUUUAUGUAAAUAGUGCAAUACAUGCAUCGUUAAUAUACAUAUUGCAUGAUUUUUAUACAAAAUUAUGAAUAAUAUAAUAUAUUACGAAAAAAUAACACGAAAAUAAUAUAACAUAUUACAAUAUACUAUAAAAAUCAUGCAUUUUAUGUAUAAACGGUAAAUAUUUUGUACUAUUUGUAUAAAUAUUUACACCAUUUAUAUAAAUAUUGCACUAUUAUGAGAUAAUGUUGCACCAUUUAGAUGUUAUGUUGCAUUCUUUCUUUUUAAAAAUUAAAGUGUAUUGUAUAUUGAAUAAAGUGUUAAAUUUCUUGAAAAUGACAGCUGCUAAGUUAUAAUUACAUGUACUUUUCUCGAGAGACGAGAAUCCUCAUUUAAUUAAGAUAAAAUAAAAAAUAAAAUAUCAUUAAUACAAUGAAAAGAGUGCAACAUUCUUUUAAAGAGUGUAACAUAGUCUCAAAUAGUGCAAUAUUCUCUUCCAAAUAAUGCAAUAUUUAUAUAAAUAGUGCAAGAUAUGCAUCGUUAAUACACAUAUUGAAUGAUUUUUAUACAAAAUUACGAAUAAUAUAAUAUAUUACGUGGAAAUAAUACGAAAAUAAUAUAACAUAUACAAAAUACUAUAAAAAUCAUACAUUAUAUUAUGAACGGUACAUAUUUUGCACUAUUUGUAUAAAUAUUAAUACUAUUUGUAUAUAUAUUGUACUAUUAUGAGAGAAUGUUGCACCAUUUAGAUGAUAUGUUAUACUCUUUCUUUUUAAAAAUUAAAGUGCUUAUCUAUUAAAUAAAGAGUGCAAUUUCUUGGAAAUAACAACCAUAGUUAGUUAAUUCGGAUUCGGCAAAAAUUCGGUACGGGUAUAAUUCGGAUAAAAUUCGUCUUCUAAUUUUUAAAUUUGUUGAAAAAUACGGUUAAAAAACGGAUUCGGUAAUUAUUCGGAUACGUGAUUUAUAUGGAUAUUAUACGUUUACCAAUUAAAAAUUCGGGAUUAAAAAUUCGAUUAUUAAAUUAAAUUUUUUUCUCUCAAGAUUUAUACUAUUAGUAUAAAUACUCAUUUUUUUAAGAAUAUAAAAAUAAAGAACUAUAAAAUUAAACUAAUUAAGUAAAAAAAAUAAUAAACUAUAUUAUACUUAUAAAUAAAAUAUUAUAUAAUAAUAUUUUUAUAUAAAAAUAAAAUAUUAUAUAUAAUAAAUAAAUAAAUAAAUAAAUAAAUAUAAUGAGAGA